rnacentral:tRNA from 1 species
GGGUCGUUAGCUCAGUUGGUAGAGCGGUUGACUUUUAAUCAAUUGGUCGCAGGUUCACGAAUCUGCGACCCAAUCGUUCGGUGGAAACGAGAAUAAAACGUGAAGGAUGUAACGUUGCGUCAGCAACGAUACGUAGAGGCGAGGCGAAGCCAGUCAUCCUGCACGACCCACCA